AAACCAGGCCGGGCCCCUCUGGCAGCCGCGAGGCUGUGAUGUCGGACUGGACGU
rfam:Afipia sp. 62-7 SCNpilot_expt_1000_bf_scaffold_866, whole genome shotgun sequence.